CGUAGGCGGUUUUGCAAGUUGGAUGUGAAAGCCCAGGGCUCAACCCUGGAAUUGCAUUCAAGACUGCAUUACUUGAAUUCGGUAGAGGUGAGUGGAAUUCCCAGUGUAGAGGUGAAAUUCGUAGAUAUUGGGAAGAACACCGGUGGCGAAGGCGGCUCACUGGACCGACAUUGACGCUGAGGCGCGAAAGCGUGGGGAGCAAACAGGAUUAGAUACCCUGGUAGUCCACGCCGUAAACGAUGCAUGCUAGACGUUGGAGGCCUUAGGUCUCUUGUGUCGCAGCUAACGCACUAAGCAUGCCGCCUGGGGAGUACGGCCGCAAGGUUGAAACUCAAAUGAAUUGA
rnacentral:rRNA from 1 species